GCAGAUGUACCCAAGAGGUCGCACGGGGACGCACUUGAAAUGCGAUAGGCUGUAAAAGGCACAGGAGUUCGAAUCUCCUCAUCUGCG
rnacentral:tRNA from 1 species